rnacentral:lncRNA from 1 species
GCAUGUGGUAAUGUCUGAAACUAGGAUCCCGGGAAAAGCUGGGCUAGCGGAAGAACCUGAAGUGAUGAGAAUCAACGCACUGGGAACCUAAGCCCACAAUUACAAAUUUCAUUUUUUCUUUCGCCUGGAGGCUGUGAUGAAAGCUCUUGCUACACAAAAAUCUAUGUGGCACCCAGGGUAUUAUAUAAGCCCUUGACAGGAGGGGAGAUAGUCCGGUCUGUGCGCUUCAGCCGCCGCAGUCGCAGUAGCCACGGCGCAGCAGCGAGAGCCGCUCAGGUUGAUUUAGAACGCGGGUGACAGUGGCCUGGCGCGAGCCUACGGCUGACGACAGCGGCUGAUCCCACUCGGUUUCCAUGGAGACGGGCAGGAGCCGAGGCGGCGGCGCGGCUGUCAGCGAGCGCGGCGGCGCGCGCGCGGGGGUCUGCAGGAGGCAGGAGCAGGCCGGGGCCCUCGCUGCAGACAUGGACUCGCAUUGUGAGUGCGCCGCGGAGACGCCCGCCGCAGAGCCGCCGUCGGGGAAGAUCAAUAAGGCUGCGUUCAAGUUAUUCAAGAAGAGGAAAUCGGGGGGCACCAUGCCCAGCAUUUUUGGGGUCAAAAACAAAGGGGAUGGGAAGAGCUCGGGGCCGGCGGGGAUGGUGAGAAGCAGGACCCACGACGGACUAGCCGAGGUGCUGGUGCUGGAGGGCAGCAAGAAGGAGGAGCCGCCUGGCGGGAGCGAUCACAGCGGGGCCCGACCGAUCCCCGGACCCCCCAAAGCCUCCGGGCCUGGCCUGGGCUCCCUGGCCAGCAGCUCGGUGGCCAAGUCCCACAGCUUCUUCUCCCUGCUGAAAAAGAACGGGCGAUCGGAGACCGGCAAG